rnacentral:rRNA from 1 species
CAGCCGCCGCGGUAAUACGAAGGGUGCAAGCGUUAAUCGGAAUUACUGGGCGUAAAGCGCGCGUAGGCGGUUACUCAAGUCAGAGGUGAAAGCCCGGGGCUCAACCCCGGAACUGCCUUUGAAACUAGGUGACUAGAAUCUUGGAGAGGUCAGUGGAAUUCCGAGUGUAGAGGUGAAAUUCGUAGAUAUUCGGAAGAACACCAGUGGCGAAGGCGACUGACUGGACAAGUAUUGACGCUGAGGUGCGAAAGCGUGGGGAGCAAACAGGAUUAGAUACCCCCGUAGUCCCUGUCUCUUAUAC